GUGCUAAGGUAGCAUAAUAAGUUGUCUCCUAAUUAGAGAAUAGAAUGAAUGAAAAAACAUCAUGGUUAUUGUCUCUAAAUAACUACAGAAAUUUAUAUAAGGGUGAAAAAGCCCUAAUUACUUAGAAAGACAAAAAGACCCUAGAAUCUUACAAGUUUUUAUAAUAGCUUUACUUAAACUUUUUAGUUGGGAUGACAAAAAGAUUUAAAAACACUUUUUAAAUUAAAGAUAAAAAUCACAUAAAUUAACCCCACAACGAACGCAAGCAAGUUACUCUAGGGGUAACAGGCUAAUCUUCCUUAAGAGUGCACAUUGACAGGAAGGUUUGGCACCUCGAUGUUGGCUUAGGGAUAUUAUUUUAUGCAGAAGUAAAAUAAAUUGGUUUGUUCAACCAAUAACCCCCUACAUGA
rnacentral:rRNA from 1 species